CCUACGGGAGGCAGCAGUAGGGAAUAUUGCUCAAUGGGGGAAACCCUGAAGCAGCAACGCCGCGUGGAGGAUGAAGCUUUUCGGAUUGUAAACUCCUUUUGUUAGAGAAGAUAAUGACGGUAUCUAACGAAUAAGCACCGGCUAACUCCGUGCCAGCAGCCGCGGUAAUACGGAGGGUGCCAGAGUUACUCGGAAUCACUGGGCGUAAAGAGCGCGUAGGCGGGAUAGCAAGUCAGAUGUGAAAGCCUAGGGCUUAACCAUAGAACUGCAUUUGAAACUGUUAGUCUAGAGUAUGGGAGAGGUAGGUGGAAUUCUUGGUGUAGGGGUAAAAUCCGUAGAGAUCAAGAGGAAUACUCAUUGCGAAGGCGACCUGCUAGAACAUAACUGACGCUGAUGCGCGAAAGCGUGGGGAGCAAACAGGAUUAGAUACCCGAGUAGUC
rnacentral:rRNA from 1 species